GACAGAGGAUGCAAGCGUUAUCCGGAAUGAUUGGGCGUAAAGCGUCUGUAGGUGGCUUUUUAAGUCUGCCGUCAAAUCCCAGGGCUCAACCCUGGACAGGCGGUGGAAACUACCAAGCUGGAGUACGGUAGGGGCAGAGGGAAUUUCCGGUGGAGCGGUGAAAUGCGUAGAGAGCGGAAAGAACACCAACGGGCGAAAGCACUCUGCUGGGCCGGACACGUGACACUGAGAGACGAAAGCUAGGGGA
rnacentral:rRNA from 1 species